UACGAAGGGGGCUAGCGUUGCUUCGGAAUCACUGGGGCGUAAAGGGUGCGUAGGCGGGUCUUUAAGUCAGAGGUGAAAAGGCCCUGGAGCCUCGAACUCCAGUAACUGCCUUUGAUACUGGAGGAUCUCGAGUUCGGGAGAGGUGAAGUGGAACUGCGAGUGUAGAGGUGAAAUUCGUAGAUAUUCGCAAGAACACCAGUGGCGAAGGCGGCUACUGGCCCGAUACUGACGCUGAGGCACGAAAGCGUGGGGAAGCAAACAGGGAU
rnacentral:rRNA from 1 species